UGACCAUCUCCCGUUGUUGCCGUGUCCCGGUUUGUGCUUCCCGUUUUCUCUGCUUUCACAACCCCACUCAUCGAUUCGCUCCCCUCUUCUUUGCUUUCCCCCCCCCCCUUGGAUGUAGUUGAUUAAGCAUGCGCUGUAUGUUCUAAUGCAACUCUCUUGUUCAAUUGCCCGUUCAAACAUUUAGCAAUCCGGGGAGGGGGAGUUAUUGGCUAAAACCGGUCUCAGUUCGGAUUGGAGUCUGCAACUCGCCUCCAUGAAGUUGGAAUCGCUAGUAAUCGCAAAUCAGCAUGUUGCGGUGAAUACGUUCCCGGGUCUUGUACACACCGCCCGUCACAUCACGAAAGUAGGUUGUACUAGAAGUAGCUGGGCCAACUCGCAAGAGAGAGCAGGUUACCACGGUAUGAUUUAUGAUUGGGGUGAAGUCGUAACA
rnacentral:rRNA from 1 species